rnacentral:sRNA from 1 species
GCGCGAGCGAUUUUAGUCUGAGGCGAAGCUUCGGAGCGGCCGGUACUGUUGAGAGCGACAAGUGGAGGCGCCGCUCUAGCGGCCGGGACUCUGAACUAUGGCGAACUUUAAUCAUUUGUUUUUAAACUUUUAGGCUAGUGAUACAGAACGAGAUGGACUAGCCCCAGAAAAGACAUCACCAGAUAGAGAUAAGAAAAAAGAGCAGUCAGAUGUAUCUGUUUCUCCUAGAGCUUCAAAACAUCAUUAUUCAAGAUCACGAUCAAGGUCAAGAGAAAGAAAACGAAAGUCAGAUAAUGAAGGAAGAAAACACAGGAGCCGGAGCAGAAGCAAAGAGGCAAGAAGACAUGAAUCCAAAGAUAAAUCCUCUAAGAAACAUAAGUCUGAGGAACAUAAUGACAAAGAACAUUCUUCUGAUAAAGGAAGAGAGCGACUAAAUUCAUCUGAAAAUGGUGAGGACAGGCACAAACGCAAAGAAAGAAAGUCAUCAAGAGGCAGAAGUCACUCAAGAUCUAGGUCUCGUGAAAGACGCCAUCGUAGUAGAAGCAGGGAGCGGAAGAAGUCUCGAUCCAGGAGUAGGGAGCGGAAGAAAUCGAGAUCCAGAAGCAGAGAGAGGAAGAAAUCGAGAUCCAGAAGCAGGGAAAGAAAACGGCGGAUCAGGUCUCGUUCCCGCUCAAGAUCAAGACACAGGCAUAGGACUAGAAGCAGGAGUAGGACAAGGAGUAGGAGUCGAGAUAGAAAGAAGAGAAUUGAAAAGCCGAGAAGAUUUAGCAGAAGUUUAAGCCGGACUCCAAGUCCACCUCCCUUCAGAGGCAGAAACACAGCAAUGGAUGCACAGGAAGCUUUAGCUAGAAGACAAAAUACCUGAAACAGUUGGAAAGGGCAAAGAAAUUACAAGAACAGCGAGAAAAGGAAAUGGUUGAAAAACAAAAACAACAAGAAAUAGCUGCAGCUGCAGCUACUGGAGGUUCUGUUCUCAAUGUUGCUGCCCUGUUGGCAUCAGGAACACAAGUAACACCUCAGAUAGCCAUGGCAGCUCAGAUGGCAGCCCUGCAAGCUAAAGCUUUGGCAGAGACAGGAAUAGCUGUUCCUAGCUACUAUAACCCAGCCGCUGUUAAUCCAAUGAAAUUUGCUGAACAAGAGAAAAAAA